rnacentral:lncRNA from 1 species
UCACUUUCCUCCAUCAUCUUCAUCGUCACUCUUAUCCUUAUCAUAGUACUACACAUUGGAGGUCCUAUAGGAACAAAAAACUCAAGAUUUCUCGUGACCGACAAUUUAAGGCCAGAAGACCUAGGCCCUCCUAACUGUCCCAGUCCGGCAGAGAAAGUCUCAGGUAAUCAUCUGUUGCCCCACUUUUUUUCAGCUGCUAUUAAAAGGUCCCAGUUUUUCUGUCAUCUGUACACUUCCUGCCUUUGUCUUUUGCUUACCUCGAGUACUAUCAAUUAAAUUCAAAAUUCAUUUCUAACUUAUGUCAACCAUAAGGCAAACCUAUCAUGUGUUUCUUUUCCUGGCAGAAUUUGCUCAGAAGAGUUUGUCAUCACCUUCAUCAGAUGCUGACAAAGUGUGAAUGCCUAGGAUUAGCCAUUGGAUUACCCUGAUACAUCUGGAAGAACCACAGAAAAAGGCCGUCUUGAUUCUGCUUAAAGCUCUCGACCUUCCUUCAAGAAAGUUUGGUCUGUGUUCUUUAUGGUGUCCUUCUGGCAGAAGAUGAAGACUUUUGGUUUCAACAGGCAUUUAUAAUAACUUUUAUAUAAUAAUAAUAAUAAUUUUAUUCUUAUAUCCCGCCUCAUCUCCCUGAAGGGACUCAGGGCAGCUCACGUAGGAACCAAGCCCAGCAAUACACAAUAAAAUGCAAUCAUAAAUACAUAUAAAACAUAUAAACAUAAAAUCAUAAAACAUAUAACACAUUAAAACAUACUGCUAUUGGCUGCUAUUAUAUGUAUGUUGUUUUUAAUAAGAAUACUUUUAUUUAUUUUACGUAGUCAUUCAUUCAUUUAAGUUCUGUCAAUAUUAUAUUUAACCUGUGGGUGUUUUGAGUGAUGUGUUUCUAUAAGCCAUAAGUUUGAGUCAAAAGAUUGGGGAAAAGGUGGGCCAUAAAUAAAUGCACAUGUUUUGAUUUUGAUGACAUCUGGUUCAGUGUACUGAGCUAUUUUGAAUCCCAUUUUAGGAGAGACUCAG